GUGUACCAUGAACAUCUCUUUCAUGAACAUGGGUGAAAACCCCCUACUGAAACACAGAGCACUGUAGUUGGAUCAAAUGGCUGCUGCUCUUCAAGCUGAGUCCUUGACAGAUCUCCACAUUCUUUCAGCAUCUCCUCACCUCCCAGAUGCCUUUCCUGCCUCAGGCACCAGACCAGGAUGCUUUCCAAACUAUUUUGGAUCUCUGUGUCUUCCUCGUGCGCAAGCAACCCGCCGUGUCUCUACCCCUUUACGUGAGGUCAGUUCUUUCCUCCUGGGCUCAGAGUGUGAAAAGGAAUUAUUUUCAGAAUUUGUCUAAGUUUCACCGUCGCACUGCGGGGACACCCCCUCCCCUCCACAAUUUCAGGCUCAAAAAUGGGUGGAGGGCACAGAGGAGGGCCAUCGAGGAGGAGACGGGGCCACCUGCCCAUGUUGUGCCUCGCCAUUCUCCUCAUUCAUCUCGGGACCCCCUCCUCCCUCCCCGUCUCUCCCCGCUGCUCCUGGAUCCUAGUCCCAUCAGCUUCCACCCCUGCCCAGGACGCCAGCAGUGGCCACUUUCACACUGACCUGUGGGGCCCGGGCCAGGUCUGUGCCUCCUUGGGCUUGCCUAAGCCCUCUCGCUCCUCACCCGGGCAGCUCUGGGAACUGGUUCUCUGCGGGCAGGGCGGGCAUGGGGGCUGCUCCCCACAUCAGCGCCCAGCCAGUCAUGUGAGCGUUGCAUCACCUGAUCCAGGUCCCCCACCCCACUCCCUCGCCCCUAGCCCAGAGGGACCCGACAGCUCUGGAAGGUGGGGGCUGGCGGGGGUGGUGGUUGGAGAAGGAGGCAUUACCGAUAAAGCAGGAGUGGAGAGGCUUCCUGUCUGCAGGUGCUUUACCUGGAGCAUCUCGGGUCCUCACUCAUGCCCAUUAUCCCCAGUUGUGGCAGCUGAUCACAGGGAAGGUACCAGAUUUUGCCUAGAGCACCACAUAGCCCCACAGCCCGCUUUCAAGACUAGCUCCUCCUGACUCUAGAGCCCUGGUGCUAGUUCCACCAGGGAGCUGCGCUGCCACCUUGUGUAACUGUGUCCUGAGCCUCAGCUCUUCUCAGUCCAUGUGUUCUCUCUCCCUGACUCUGUCCGUUUUCCUGUAAAUCAGUUCAGUUCAGUCCCUCUUCCCUCCCCUGAAUCUCAGACUCAUUUUUGCUUUCCCACCAAAAAUAUAGGUGAGUGCUUAUUUCCCCAGUUUUCAACAUAAUGUGACAUACUUUUUAAUUUUCACUGAUAUAAUAAAUGAGUAGUAGUAUAUCCAUGGCAUUUUAUCUUGCAUUUCUGUUUAAUAGCAAAUUAAAUAUCAUUGUGAAUUGUCUGUUCAUGUCUCUUCCACAUCUUUUUCUUUUUAAAAAAAUAUUUAUUUUUAUUCAUUUGACUGCACCAUGUCUUAGUUGUGGCAUGUGGGCUCUUUAGUUGUGGUGUGUGAGAUCUAGUUCCCUGACCAGGGAUCAAACCUGGGCCCCCUGCAUUCGGAGCAUGGAGUCUUAGCCACUGAACCUCCAAGGAAGUUCCUUUUCUACAUUCUUCUAUUGGGUUAUUGUUCCUUCACACUUUUCAAGUGUUCUUUAUACAUUAUAUUAGGCCUUUAUCUGUUAUAAAAGUUGCAAAUAUUUACUUCCAACUUGUUAGUUGCUUUUUGACUUUUUUAUGAUGUA